rnacentral:rRNA from 1 species
GUGAGGAAUUUUCCGCAAUGGGCGAAAGCCUGACGGAGCAAUGCCGCGUGAAGGAUGAAGGCCUAUGGGUUGUAAACUUCUUUUCUCAGAAAAGAAUUAUGACGGUAUCUGAGGAAUAAGCAUCGGCUAACUCUGUGCCAGCAGCCGCGGUAAGACAGAGGAUGCAAGCGUUAUCCGGAAUGAUUGGGCGUAAAGCGUCUGUAGGUUGUUUAAAAAGUAUUCUGUCAAAGAUUAGGGCUUAACCCUAGAUAGGCAGAAUAAACUUUUAAGCUAGAGUGUGGUAGAGGCAGAGGGAAUUCCCGGUGGAGCAGUGAAAUGCGUAGAUAUCGGGAGGAACACCAAAGGCGAAGGCACUCUGCUGGGCCAAUACUAACACUGAGAGACGAAAGCGAGGGGAGCAAAUGGGAUUAGAAACCCCUGUAGUCC